CCCCGCUCAGACUACUCACCUGCUUCCACUCCUCCUGGCGAGUCCAGCAUGGCCCAUCCAAAUCCGUCAAGGAGACCACACUGGAAUAGAAAUAAACUGAAAGAGGUAAGAGAGAGAAGAGAGAUGGUCACACUGCUUGAAAACCUACAUUUCCAGCUCUAACACCUUCCAUUGGCAGACUGUCAAGUGACCCAAACCUCUGAGCCUCAAUUCCCCUGGCUGCCAUCAAACGCUGGUUAAUUGUGGGAGAUUACUAGUGCCGUCCUCUCAGAUGUGCCAUUCCUGGUGUACAGCUGGGGCCCUGCAUCCAUCCUGACUAGACGUCUAUCUCUUCUUCCUUGACUUUAUACUGCUCAGACAUUACACAAAAACAUGGAUUUAAUCUGCAAUAGGAACUAGGCAGCAGAAUGAGGGAAGGAGUAAUGACUGAUGCAAGCGUUUGUCAUCGCAUUUGGAGAAGGGAGGUGGUAUUUCUCAACUAGAAAGCGAGGCAGAGACAAGUUAAACGACUUAUCAAAACCCUUCUGGAAAUCUAGGGGGGAAAAGCAGGCUAAGAAACUG